rnacentral:rRNA from 1 species
ACGCGUGAGGAACCUGCCUCAAAGAGGGGGACAACAGUUGGAAACGACUGCUAAUACCGCAUAAGCCCACGGCUCGGCAUCGAGCAGAGGGAAAAGGAGCAAUCCGCUUUGAGAUGGCCUCGCGUCCGAUUAGCUAGUUGGUGAGGUAACGGCCCACCAAGGCGACGAUCGGUAGCCGGACUGAGAGGUUGAACGGCCACAUUGGGACUGAGACACGGCCCAGACUCCUACGGGAGGCAGCAGUGGGGAAUAUUGCACAAUGGGGGAAACCCUGAUGCAGCGACGCCGCGUGGAGGAAGAAGGUCUUCGGAUUGUAAACUCCUGUUGUUGAGGAAGAUAAUGACGGUACUCGACAAGGAAGUGACGGCUAACUACGUGCCAGCAGCCGCGGUAAAACGUAGGUCACAAGCGUUGUCCGGAAUUACUGGGUGUAAAGGGAGCGCAGGCGGGAGAACAAGUUGGAAGUGAAAUCCAUGGGCUCAACCCAUGAACUGCUUUCAAAACUGUUUUUCUUGAGUAGUGCAGAGGUAGGCGGAAUUCCCGGUGUAGCGGUGGAAUGCGUAGAUAUCGGGAGGAACACCAGUGGCGAAGGCGGCCUACUGGGCACCAACUGACGCUGAGGCUCGAAAGUGUGGGUAGCAAACAGGAUUAGAUACCCUGGUAGUCCACACCGUAAACGAUGAUUACUAGGUGUUGGAGGAUUGACCCCUUCAGUGCCGCAGUUAACACAAUAAGUAAUCCACCUGGGGAGUA